GUCACAACGGUGGAAGAUGAGCAUGCGUCCCAUUAGCUAGUUGGUAAGGUAACGGCUUACCAAGGCUACGAUGGGUAGGGGUCCUGAGAGGGAGAUCCCCCACACUGGUACUGAGACACGGACCAGACUCCUACGGGAGGCAGCAGUGAGGAAUAUUGGUCAAUGGGCGCAAGCCUGAACCAGCCAUGCCGCGUGCAGGAUGACGGUCCUAUGGAUUGUAAACUGCUUUUGUACGGGAAGAAACCCUCCUACGUGUAGGAGCUUGACGGUACCGUAAGAAUAAGGAUCGGCUAACUCCGUGCCAGCAGCCGCGGUAAUACGGAGGAUCCAAGCGUUAUCCGGAAUCAUUGGGUUUAAAGGGUCUGUAGGCGGUCUUGUAAGUCAGUGGUGAAAGCCCAUCGCUCAACGGUGGAACGGCCAUUGAUACUGCUGGACUUGAAUUAUUGGGAAGCAACUAGAAUAUGUAGUGUAGCGGUGAAAUGCUUAGAGAUUACAUGGAAUACCAAUUGCGAAGGCAGGUUGCUACCAAUGGAUUGACGCUAAUGGACGAAAGCGUGGGUAGCGAACAGGAUUAGAUACCCUGGUAGUCCACGCCGUAAACGAUGGAUACUAGCUGUUGGGCGCAAGUUCAGUGGCUAAACAAAAGUGAUAAGUAUCCCACCUGGGGGAGUACGAACGCAAGUUUGAAACUCAAAGGAAUUUGACCGGGGCCCGCACAAAGC
rnacentral:rRNA from 1 species